rnacentral:lncRNA from 1 species
AAAAGAUACGCCUGGAAAAAUCAAAAUAAAAAAGAACGCCCGGAGAAGACAAAAAAUGACCCCCCUGCCCAGAACGUCAUCUUCAUUGGGUGACCCCAUAAAACUCUAUCUUCUUCACAAGGAAUGAACACAACUAAACCUAGACGAGCUCCACUAUAACAUGCGCCUACUCCACCAGCUGCUCGAACAACAACUUCCUCGUCUCCUCUCACCUUGCCGUUGUCCACUCCGCUAGCAACCCUAUCUCCGGUGAGCUUUACCCUUGUAUACACAUACAUAGGUAGAAUAACAGCAAACAGGUAUAAACAGAGAUAAAAAAUAGAGUGAGAUAUUGUUGGAGGAAAGAUGCUCAGAUCUGAGUAACGGGGAUAGUGAGGCAGUUCGGUUAGAGCUCAUGAGAUUUUCGACGAGCUUUUCAGCUUAGAUUUAUUUUCGUUCCUGUUUGUUCCGUCAAUUCAACAUUUUCGGAUUGUAAGUCAGUUAAAUUUUAGGUUUACUUCAGUUAUUUCCCUUUCUCUGGCUAUCUUAGCUUUAAUCUGAAUCUUGGAUUUAAUUUUUCAUCUCUUUGCUCAUGAUUCCUUAAUAGUAUUUGGUGGUGUUUUUGUUGUUCUUUUGUUAUGGUUGAUCUGUUUUGCUCAAUUUUUAUUAAGAUGGAAUGUUGGUUGAUUUGUUGUUUUACUAGAAUUCUGGUUGAUGUUUUUAAUAUGG